GAGCUCCUGCUAUAGACGGAUUCGAGGAUAUGUUCAGCCGCCUAAUGAGCAUUUUGGGCCACUUGAUGAAGAUUACAACACUGAAUAAGUUUGUCGAGGUGGAACGCUAUGUCUUGGCUGAGACAAUCCAAAUUGUUAAAGACCUGUAUUCCAAAUGAACUCCACUUCUGAGAUGCACGAUGUAGAUGUAGAUAUUUGUUGUGGAACUAUCUUCUUUAGUACCAACAACUGAAGCACUUUUCCUGAACCUUAAAUUUAUAUGGUCAUCUAAAGUUAUGUUUUCCUA